GAUGAACGCUAGCGAUAGGCUUAACACAUGCAAGUCGAGGGGCAGCACAAGGUAGCUUGCUAUCUGGGUGGCGACCGGCGCACGGGUGCGUAACGCGUAUGCAACUUGCCCUAUACAGGAGGAUAACCCGUCGAAAGACGGACUAAUACUGCGUAUGCUCACAACUUGGCAUCAAGUGGUGAGGAAAGAAAUUCGGUAUAGGAUAGGCAUGCGUCCCAUUAGCUUGUUGUUGAGGUAACGGCUCACCAAGGCAACGAUGGGUAGGGGAACUGAGAGGUUUUUCCCCCACAGUGGUACUGAGACACGGACGAGACUGCUACGGGAGGCAGCAGUGAGGAAUAUUGGUCAAUGGACGCGAGCCUGAACAAGCCAAGUCGCGUGAAGGAUGACUGUCUUAGGGAUUGUAAACUUCUUUUAUACGGGAAUAACAAGAGUAACGUGUGACUCCCUGAAUGUACCGUAUGAAUAAGCAUCGGCUAACUCCGUG
rnacentral:rRNA from 1 species